UACGUAGGGUGCGAGCGUUAAUCGGAAUUACUGGGCGUAAAGCGUGCGCAGGCGGUUCGUUGUGUCGGUGGUGAAAGCCCCGGGCUCAACCUGGGAAUGGCCAUGGAAACUGGCGAACUGGAGUGUGGCAGAGGGGGGUGGAAUUCCACGUGUAGCAGUGAAAUGCGUAGAGAUGUGGAGGAACACCGAUGGCGAAGGCAGCCCCCUGGGUUAACACUGACGCUCAGGCACGAAAGCGUGGGGAGCAAACAGG
rnacentral:rRNA from 1 species